UACGUAGGGGGCAAGCGUUGUCCGGAUUUCUUGGGCGUAAAGAGCGUGUAGGCGGCUAGGUAGCUCCGUUGUGAAAACUCGAGGCUCAACCUCGAGACGUCGGCGGAAACCAUCUGGCUAGAGUCCGGAAGAGGAGAGUGGAAUUCCUGGUGUAGCGGUGAAAUGCGUAGAUAUCAGGAGGAACACCGGUGGUGCAAACGGCUUUCUGGACCGUAACUGACGCUGAGACACGAAAGCGUGGGGAGCAAACAGG
rnacentral:rRNA from 1 species